rnacentral:tRNA from 1 species
GCCCUGGUAGUGUAGUGGCUAACAUAGGACCCUGUCGCGGUCCCGCCCCGGGUUCGAUUCCCGGUCAGGGCG